UCCAGGGUAACCUAGUGGACAUGGCAUCUGCCCGGUAAGCGGAACAUUGUGGGUUCGAUUCCCAUCCCUGGAA
rnacentral:tRNA from 1 species